GGGACUGCACAAAAGAUCACAGUAUAAAGCUAAUAGUCGACCUUGCAGCAUACAAGGAAUCCAAGCUCCCUGUUAAAUGUCUUCAAGUAGAAUCGUGCUCGCUAUAGGCUCUCAACCUGCGACAGGCUGUACAAGGAUAUGCAGAGACACAAGCAAUACCGUCUCCAUUAAGUGUUCUGGAAGAGACUACCUUUUGAUAAGUGGAGAUGAGCUAAUACUUGCAGAUGUGAUUAGAGUUCAAAUGACCUCUUUGCUGUUUUAAAAAGAAAAUAUGAUCAGCUGAACCAAGAAACUUCUCUCUGAGUUUGAGGGGGGCAAUGAGAAAGCGAAAAGUUUAGAUUAUAAUGGUCUAAUUGGCAAUUGCCCUCCACUUGUACACCAGUAAUUUUGUGCCAUAACUACAUCAGAAAAGCUGAUUUAAAUCCCAAGUAUUUUUUAAGAAAUCAUUUUCAGGCAUUCAUGUUGUUAUAAUAAUUAAAAAUAGGUCAUAUUUUAAAACAGGAUUAUAUAAUGACAGAUGAAACUCACAGAUUAAAAUAGGUCAUAUUUUUUAAAAAUAAAAUCCCCCUUUGCUUGCUAUCAUGCUGGUGUAUACAUGAUAUUUCUUGGAGAGUAACUUGUUGAGAUGCUGUGCGAUGGUGACAUCCAUCUAAUAGUAUGGGUUCAUCCUUCACCACAUAGUUUAUACCAAAAAAAAAUACCAGAAUGUCAGACCCCGAAUAUAUCAGUUCAAUGAUGCAUUCAGUUAUGAACUUAAGCUAAAUUAUUGCUUAAGAAAUGCUUUGUUCAGAUACAUGUGCAUGCUUAGUCCCAACUUUUUCUCCAGAAUGCAGCCUUGGACUGCC
rnacentral:lncRNA from 1 species